rnacentral:rRNA from 1 species
GACAGAGGUGCCGAGCGUUAGGCGGAAUCACUGGGCUUAAAGCGUGUGUAGGCGGGUCGUUAAGUGUCUUGUGAAAUCCCACCGCUCAACGGUGGAACUGCUGGGCAUACUGGCGAUCUUGAGCCACCUAGGGGCAGACGGAACAAGCGGUGGAGCGGUGAAAUGCGUAGAUAUCGCUUGGAACGCCGACGGUGAAAACAGGUCGCUGGGGAUGUGCCGACGCUGAGACACGAAAGCCAGGGGAGCAAACGGG